rnacentral:rRNA from 1 species
UAGGGAAUCUUCGGCAAUGGACGAAAGUCUGACCGAGCAACGCCGCGUGAGUGAAGAAGGUUUUCGGAUCGUAAAACUCUGUUGUUAGAGAAGAACAAGGACGUUAGUAACUGAACGUCCCCUGACGGUAUCUAACCAGAAAGCCACGGCUAACUACGUGCCAGCAGCCGCGGUAAUACGUAGGUGGCAAGCGUUGUCCGGAUUUAUUGGGCGUAAAGCGAGCGCAGGCGGUUUCUUAAGUCUGAUGUGAAAGCCCCCGGCUCAACCGGGGAGGGUCGUUGGAAACUGGGAGACUUGAGUGCAGAAGAGGAGAGUGGAAUUCCAUGUGUAGCGGUGAAAUGCGUAGAUAUAUGGAGGAACACCAGUGGCGAAGGCGGCUCUCUGGUCUGUACCUGACGCUGAGGCUCGAAAGCGUGGGGAGCAAACAGG